rfam:Leptospirillum ferrodiazotrophum TBAL3_7892_2, whole genome shotgun sequence.
GCGCCCGUAGCUCAGCCCGGAUAGAGCAACAGACUACGAAUCUGAAGGUCGCAGGUUCAACUCCUGCCGGGCGCA